GUGGGGUAGAGGAAGCUGAGACCCGGAUGGGACUGCCUCCCACCAGCUGCACCAGCACUGGGCUGGGGCAGCCUGCCUGGGAGGGUGAAAGGCACCCGGGGAAGCUCUCUGGCCCCUUCCACCACGUGAGGACACAGUGAAAAGUCAGCGUCUGCAACCGGGAAGCGGGCCCUCACCAGAACCUGACCAUGCAGGCUCCCUGAUCUUGGACUUCCAGCCUCCAGAACUGCUAACCACGAGGAAAACACCUGGCAAAUCCCCGGAGAGGGACCCUGUGAACUCCCUGAGCAGCGCUCCUCACACCUGUCAGGGUCAUCAAAGCCAAGGAAGGCCGAGCAGCCGUCAGCCAGGAGGCG